GGACUUUCACUGAAACCAUCCGAUGUUGGCUGAGAUGGUUGCUGUAGCGAUGACGGAAACUUAGAGGGGCUGAUGGUCUGCUCUGGUGCCACAAGGGGGAGUUCAUCUGAGAAUGAAGAAGGGCCAAGUUGUUUACUCCUCUGGUCCCCUCUCUUCUCCAGUGCUACAAGUUGGCUGCAUCCUUCUUCUGAAGCCACCAUUUCUGUUAGGUGACCACUCCAUACAACAUUGGCUCCAAAUAGUCCUCUCUGGGAUCCUAUAACUGCUCCCUCCUCCUGCUCCUUCAGGUCCUAGGAUGGAAGCAGUCCUCCCUGCUAUCAUCAGCCUGGGAUUUCCUCAACAUACUACUGUUGGGACAAUUACUCUUUAGUACAUUCUCCUGCUUGGCCAGUUUGUAAUCCAUAUCUUUCCUGGACUCUUAUUCAUAUCCAGGUGAAGGUCAGGAUUUUAUGGCCAAAGAGAUUCAUAUUUUCUUGUCAGCUGGACAAUAACAGGAGCUGUGAGCCCCAAAGAGUGGAGAAGUUUCUUGCCAUUUCUGUUAAACUCAUGAUAAACACAAGAUAUCAGGUCUAGUCUUUGCUCACAAAGCCUCAUGAAUCCUGAGGAGUAGCCACAUCUUUUUGGAGCUGCCUCUGAACUGUCCUCAUCAGGAUGCUGACCAAGGGCUUGAUGUGCUGACUCUUGAAAACCAGGGCUGGGAAAGUGACAACAGUAAGACAGAGGAAGAGAAAGCCCCUCACUCAUACCCUCACUCAGCAGCAAUAAUCUGGCAUUUAUCCAUGAACAAAAGUGCCUUUGUGUGAGUUUUGGGAUCCAGGCUGGAGAUGAUGAAACCUCAAGCAGUCCAAGAGCUUUUUGAGAAUACAGGGCCAGGUAGCUGACUCUCUGACUGUGCUCUUGACUACAGACCCAGACACAGCUCCAUUCCCCUGAGGACUCAGCUACAGUCUGUUAGUCCUUUGUUCUGCCUUCAACACUAUAUGCCAAGAAGCCUGGAAGAAGUCACAUACACCUGUACAUUGACUAAAAGAACCACAAUCUCAUCUGAAGUGGCCAAUAAUCUGGCUCUGCCAGCCACACAGCAAGAUCAAGAAGGAUUUAUCCCUGGGAUGCAAUGAUGGUUCAACAUACGCAAUCUGGCUCAUCUUGAUCCAUGCCACUCCCCCUUAAGAGAUGGAAUCAAACUCCACUUCCUGUGAACUGAAGAUGGUGGCAGGGGAGCAGGACUUUCUCUCUCAAGCAGAACGGAGUCAUAUUUGGCUGCCAGCACAUCUGUCACGAAUUUCAGACACCUGCUGGUGUCUUCAGACCAAGAGAGACCCCACGCUCGGAGCCGCUGGCAGCAGCAGAUUCCGACGAGAAUUUCACGAUAUUGCUUAGAUUUGCUUCCAUCUCUGCUGUACGGCGCGGCGCCUGCUAUUUACGGCAGCACUGCUGACUUCACACUCAGU
ensembl:lncRNA